rnacentral:misc_RNA from 1 species
UAACGUGGAAUAUUCCUACUACAAUGAUACCGAGAAUAAAGUGUAUAAACGUAAUCGUGGGAGUAGCUAAGACGAUUUCACCAGGUAGGUCAACGUGACCCAGCAACUCGCGGGAAAGGGUUAAAGCUUUUAUUACACGGACGAAACGAUUGCCCGGCAACAAGAGAGAGAGAAAGAAAGAGCUAACGAAUGGCCGCCAGAAGCGUUUCCUGACGUCUACUCGACACCACUUUGGUCAAGAUUUUAUUAAUCCUAUUCAUAAAGUAGUUCAAGUUUCAUCGAGGGAGGUGAGCGAAGAUGGAGCAGGAAAGUGCUACUGCCUAGUCCCGUAUAAUCUUCCUUGCGGCUGUGUUACUUCGUGUUUCAUGGAAACGCGUCUUCAUUAAGCUCCGUUCUGACGCGUGUACGCGCUCCAAGUUUCCUGGAAGAGAUGAUUCGACCGAGUGUCUAGUCCGAGCGCGUUGUGCUUUCGUUUUUUAACGAGCUCG